rnacentral:rRNA from 1 species
UUCCUACGGGGGGCAGCAGUCGAGAAUUUUUCACAAUGGGCGCAAGCCUGAUGGAGCGACGCCGCGUGGGGGAUGAAUGGCUACGGCCCGUAAACCCCUGUCAUUCGCGAUCAAACGUUGGUAUUUAAAAGAUGCCAGCCUGAUAGUAGCGGAAGAGGAAGGGACGGCUAACUCUGUGCCAGCAGCCGCGGUAAUACAGAGGUCCCGAGCGUUGUUCGGAUUCACUGGGCGUAAAGGGUGCGUAGGUGGUGAGGUAAGUCGGAUGUGAAAGCUCGGAGCUCAACUCCGAAAUGGCAUUGGAAACUACCUUGCUUGAGGAUUGGAAGGGGGACUGGAAUGCUUGGUGUAGCAGUGAAAUGCGUAGAUAUCAAGCGGAACACCAGUGGCGAAGGCGAGUCCCUGGACAACACCUGACACUGAGGCACGAAAGCUAGGGGAGCAAACAGGAUUAGAUACCCUGGUAGUCC